rnacentral:rRNA from 1 species
UUGAGACCUACAUAAAUACCGGAUAAUAAAAUCCAUAGAUUAAAAUCCAAAGAAUCUGGCGGUGUUUUUAAAUACUUGGGGGAACCUGUCUCUUAAUUCGAUAAUCCACGAUAAGUCAUACCUUCAACAAAUCAGCUUGUGUACUGCUGUCAUAAGUAGACCUAAUAAUAGAAAGUUUACUAAAUGAUUAAAACCCAACUAUGUCAAGUCCAAGUGCAGCUCAUGUGAAGGAGAUGAUGGGUUACAACCUUUAUUAAAGAAACAAAAAGAACCAAUAAAUAAUUCCUGAAGGUGGACUCAAAAGUAAUUAUAAAUAACUAUUAUAAAUAUUUCUAAAACAUGCACACAUCGCCCGUCACUCUCAUCAAUUACCAAGACG